UAGGGAAUCUUCGGCAAUGGACGAAAGUCUGACCGAGCAACGCCGCGUGAGUGAAGAUGGUUUUCGGAUCGUAAAACUCUGUUGUUAGAGAAGAACAAGGGUGAGAGUAACUGUUCACCCCUUGACGGUAUCUAACCAGAAAGCCACGGCUAACUACGUGCCAA
rnacentral:rRNA from 1 species